CCUGGAAUGGAAACUUCUCAUUUCCCAUCAGCAUCAGUGCCGAUCUGGCUCCUGUGGCUAUCCUUUUUGUCUACACCCUUCACCCCAGUGGAGAAAUCGUGGCCGAUAGUGUCAAGUUCCAGAUUGAGAAAUGUUUUAAAAACAAGGUUAGCAUCAAGUUCUCUAAGGAGCGGGGGCUUCCUGGCUCCAAUGCCAGUCUCUAUCUUCAAGCAGCCCCUGACUCAUUCUGUGCCCUUGGGGCUGUGGAUAAAAGUGUCCUCCUGCUAAAAUCAGAACAACAGCUGUCAGCUGAAAGUGUGUACAACCUGCUUCCAAAUGUGGAACCAUAUGGUUAUUUCUACCAAGGUCUCGACCUAGAUGAUGGCAAGGUAGACCCCUGCAUUCCUCAGAAGGAUAUGUUCUAUAAUGGUU
rnacentral:lncRNA from 1 species